GGCCUCGGCCUCUAGGGCUAGUCUCCCCAAGAAUUCGAAAAAUCCGGCCCCGUGCCGGGUUUUUUGUUUUGUGGCGG
rnacentral:misc_RNA from 1 species